UGCGAUAGCUCAGUUGGCAGAGCAUGAGACUCUGACUCACAAGGCUGUGGGUUUGAGUCCCACACUGAGCAA